rnacentral:rRNA from 1 species
UCUAGUUAGCAUUAUACCGUGAAACUGCGAAUGGCUCAUUAAAUCAGUUAUCGUUUAUUUGAUAAUACCUUACUACUUGGAUAACCGUGGUAAUUCUAGAGCUAAUACAUGCUGAAAAUCCCGACUUCGGAAGGGAUGUGUUUAUUAGAUAAAAAACCAAUGCCCUUCGGGGCUUUUUGGUGAUUCAUGAUAACUUUACGGAUCGCAUAGCCUUGCGCUGGCGACGGUUCAUUCAAAUUUCUGCCCUAUCAACUUUCGAUGGUAAGGUAUUGGCUUACCAUGGUUUCAACGGGUAACGGGGAAUUAGGGUUCGAUUCCGGAGAGGGAGCCUGAGAAACGGCUACCACAUCCAAGGAAGGCAGCAGGCGCGCAAAUUACCCAAUCCCGACACGGGGAGGUAGUGACAAUAAAUACUGAUACAGGGCUCUUUUGGGUCUUGUAAUUGGAAUGAGUACAAUUUAAACCUCUUAACGAGGAACAAUUGGAGGGCAAGUCUGGUGCCAGCAGCCGCGGUAAUUCCAGCUCCAAUAGCGUAUAUUAAAGUUGUUGCAGUUAAAAAGCUCGUAGUUGAAACUUGGGCCUGGCUGGCGGGUCCGCCUCACCGCGUGCACUCGUCCGGCCGGGCCUUCCUUCUGAAGAACCUCAUGCCCUUCACUGGGCGUGCUGGGGAAUCAGGACUUUUACUUUGAAAAAAUUAGAGUGUUCAAAGCAGGCCUUUGCUCGAAUACGUUAGCA